GCAGGCGGGCAGAAGGCUCGGGUGGUGUUCGCGGAAUUGUCCUGCCGGGAACCGGACGUGCUGAUCCUGGACGAGCCCACCAACAACCUGGACAUCGAAUCCAUCGACGCCUUGGCCGACGCCAUCAACGAGUACAAAGGAGCGGUGAUCGUGGUGAGCCACGACGCGCGGCUGAUCACCGAGACCAACUGCCAGCUGUGGGUGGUGGAGGAGCAGGGCCUGAGCCAGAUCGACGGCGACUUCGAGGAUUACAAACGAGAGGUGCUCGAGGCCCUGGGGGAGGUGGUGGCCCUGCGGCCGCGGGACUGAGUGACCCGCUGACCGCUGCUGACCGCCGGAGUGACCACUGGAGAGACCACCGGAGUGACCACAGUGACCAUCAGAGCAACCACAGUGAUCACAGUGUCCACCAGAGUGACCACAGUGACCAUCAGA